UGCUCCCAUGGACUUUGUGUGAUUGACACAGCUCCCUGAACUCAGUAGCUCAGUUGGACUUGAGAGGCGAGGCGUUAAGAUAAGAAAUAUGGAAUUACCUCGCCAAGCCGCAUGUCUCGUUGAGUUUGCGAAAUUUGAUCAGCAAUGAAUAAUCAAUUCCUGCAACUUGAUUUGGAUUAAUUGGGAAAACGUCUAGGCUAUUCUGCGACAACCACUCGUGGCGUGUUUCAUCAACAUUUGCAUAGCUUAUAACUAUUUUCAACUUCUGUCAAAGUAAUUGGAGUGAAGCGCUCGCUCAAGAAGGGCUCCCUUGGAAAAGAGGCAUUGGUCUCAAUGGGACUCCCUGCUAAAAUAAAGCACCCUUCUAUGUGUUAAGCGGGGUGGAGCAGGUGAACCCAAGUGCAGACUCAGAUGAGGAGACCGGGAUAAGGUAACCAAGGAAACCAUACACAACAGUGGAGGCUUCUCAGAGGAGGAAGGGAAGGACCAUCCUACUCAGUAAAUUUCAGAAAAAUGUAAAGAGGUAAUGACCACUCUACUCCACUACCAUUAUCAACUCUCUUGACAUUAACUGAAGCCGUGUCUCAUAUUGCCCACGCAACCACUGGCAUAUUGAAUGUUUCCUCUCCAACCAUUGAAGAAUCUAACAAAGUAGCCAUCCAUGGAAGAGUUGAGCUCUGCUCCAACACCAUCCAUCCAUCCAUCCAUCCAUGAUGAGCCUGUCCUGCACUGAAGCCUAUGAACACCUCGACCCCUGUCCUACACUGAAGUCAAGUCUCUGAACACCUCAACUCAUGCCUCAUACCCUCAUUUAAUCACUGCUGUGAUCCUUUCCCAACACUGUGCACCAAGUCACUGAACACACCCCUGGAAGUGGCUGGUAAACAAGCAAGACACAGACAGACCAAGAGAUGCACUGCCCAGCUAGGUUACCAAGACAGACAGACUAGAGAGAGAUGCACUGCAAGCUAGCACAUCAACUUUACUGUUAUUUGCUGACAUCAAACUUGGAGAGAACACAAGUUUACCUGAUUGCUGAUCCCGCAAUUCACUUUCAUUUUUUCUCUCUUUUCGUGGCCAGAAGGAUGGUUCCGCUUCAUCCUCUCAUCGAAGUUGUAAACAUUGAUACGCGCUUUGACAUGAGGGUAAGGAAGGGCCCUUUCAUAAUUUGCGGGGCCCUACACAACUUCCGUAGUGAGCAUAUAGGCAGCGGCAGAGCCUGGCGGCCCUAUCAGCUAUUCCGAUGUGUUCUUGUCGGUUAAUAUAAAAAGUGUAUGCAGCUUAGAAUGUUUUUGUGUGAUAUGAUUGCUAUUUAGCCUAUUGCAGAUCUGGACCAAUUAGUAUGACAUCCUGGCUUUUAAACUAUAUUAAAAAAAAAAAAUACAUUUUACAUACUAUAAAAGGUUAUAUUUUCGCAUACGCUAAAUGACUACUAUUUAGAAUGCAAGUAUACUGUAGGUAUUUGAUUACGGACACAACCUCUAUAUAUGUCAGGCCAGGGUCAGCAAUGCUUGCGUUCUUCUGAUGUGACGUUGCAUGCGUCUACCAAUGGUUGCGUGCCAUAUCAUCGACUGUGCAGUCGGGCACCAGAUUGCGACAGCAUAUGUGGUUAGCGGAUAGGUAAAACACCUAUCCAGGUGUUGUAAGAUCUGGCAUGCGGCAUCAACGUCAGAGCAGGGGAACACAAACAAUAUUUUCACUGUUUUCCGUGGCCUUCUAGUAUGCUGUUUCAGGAAGGUACAGUAUGUAUCUGUGCAAAAGGCAAUGACAGAAAAAAAAUGUCAGGUUAAGGUCACUUGUUGUAAAUGUCUCUCAUUGUACAAUUCUUAGAGAGCAUAGAAUGGCUAUGUUAACAAAGACAGACCAAUUCUGAGAUUUUGCCCAAUUAUUGUCAAAAUAGCAAUUAGCUGGGGGAAAAAUAGCAUAAUUGGGCUGCCUGUGUAAACGCAGCCAUAGAGAGCAUGUAAUGAUCAUUGUACACGACUCCGUCAAGGAUGCAAUGUGAAAUUAAGGAUCGAUGCUUCUAAGGGGAAGUGAUUGUGGUCUUGGAAAUCAUUUUGAAAAGUAAACUUUCCCAGAUGUCAAAUGCAACCAUAAA